rnacentral:rRNA from 1 species
UACGUAGGUGGCAAGCGUUGUUCGGAAUUACUGGGCGUAAAGGGCUCGUAGGCGGCCAACUAAGUCAGACGUGAAAUCCCUCGGCUUAACCGGGGAACUGCGUCUGAUACUGGAUGGCUUGAGUUUGGGAGAGGGACGCGGAAUUCCUGGUGUAGCGGUGAAAUGCGCAGAUAUCGUAAGGAAGACCAGUGGCGAAGGCGGGUCUCUGGACAGUUCCUGACGCUGAGGCACGAAGGUCAGGGGAGCAAACGGG